GCACUAUUGAAGAGUCCCACACUAGGACGAAAUAGCUGUCCAGUGC
rfam:Schistosoma mattheei strain Denwood, Zambia genome assembly, scaffold: SMTD_contig0021600